rnacentral:rRNA from 1 species
AACGAACGCUGGCGGCAGGCUUAACACAUGCAAGUCGAACGCACCUUUCGGGGUGAGUGGCAGACGGGUGAGUAACGCGUGGGAAUCUACCCUUCUCUACGGGAUAGCUCCGGGAAACUGGAAUUAAUACCGUAUACGUCCUGAGGGAGAAAGAUUUAUCGGGGAAGGAUGAGCCCGCGUUGGAUUAGCUAGUUGGUGGGGUAAAGGCCUACCAAGGCGACGAUCCAUAGCUGGUCUAAGAGGAUGAUCAGCCACAUUGGGACUGAGACACGGCCCAAACUACUACGGGAGGCAGCAGUGGGGAAUAUUGGACAAUGGGCGCAAGCCUGAUCCAGCCAUGCCGCGUGAGUGAUGAAGGCCCUAGGGUUGUAAAGCUCUUUCAGUGGGGACGAUAAUGACGGUACCCACAGAAGAAGCCCCGGCUAACUUCGUG